UGCAAGUCGAACGAAGUAGCAAUACUUAGUGGCAGACGGGUGAGUAACAUGUAGGUAUCUGCCCUUUGGCCUGGAAUAACACGAGGAAACUUGUGCUAAUACCGGAUAAGUCUUUACAGAGAAAGCUUUAUGCACCAUUGGAUGAGCCUGCACUUGAUUAGUUUGUUGGUGGGGUAAUGGCCUACCAAGACUGUGAUCAAUAGCUGAUUUGAGAGGAUGAUCAGCCACAUUGGGACUGAGACACGGCCCAAACUCCUACGGGAGGCAGCAGUGGGGAAUCUUGCACAAUGGAGGAAACUCUGAUGCAGCGAUGCCGCGUGAGUGAAGAAGGCCCUUGGGUUGUAAAGCUCUUUCGUCGGGGAAGAAAAUGACUGUACCCGAAUAAGAAGGUCCGGCUAACUUCGUGCCAGCAGCCGCGGUAAUACGAAGGGACCUAGCGUAGUUCGGAAUUACUGGGCUUAAAGAGUUCGUAGGUGGUUGAAAAAGUUAGUGGUGAAAUCCCAGAGCUUAACUCUGGAACUGCCAUUAAAACUUUUCAGCUAGAGUAUGAUAGAGGAAAGCAGAAUUUCUAGUGUAGAGGUGAAAUUCGUAGAUAUUAGAAAGAAUACCAAUUGCGAAGGCAGCUUUCUGGAUCAUUACUGACACUGAGGAACGAAAGCAUGGGUAGCGAAGAGGAUUAGAUACCCUCGUAGUCCAUGCCGUAAACGAUGUGUGUUAGACGUUGGAAAUUUAUUUUCAGUGUCGCAGGGAAACCGAUAAACA
rnacentral:rRNA from 1 species